rnacentral:rRNA from 1 species
AAUGAACGCUGGCGGCGUGCUUAACACAUGCAAGUCGUACGAGAACUCUUUAGCUUGCUAAAGAUAGUAAAGUGGCGUACGGGUGAGUAACACGUGGGUAAUCUACCUCCGAAUUGGGGAUAACGUUGCGAAAGCGACGCUAAUACCGAAUAAUAUCUUUUUGGCGAUGGCUUUAAAGAUCAAAGGUGGUCACUACAUGUAAACUACUGUUUGGAGAUGAGCCCGCGCACCAUUAGCUAGUUGGUAAGGUAAUGGCUUACCAAGGCUUCGAUGGUUAGCUGGUCUGAGAGGAUGAUCAGCCACACUGGAACUGACACACGGUCCAGACUCCUACGGGUGGCAG